rnacentral:tRNA from 1 species
GGGCCGGUAGCUCAAUUGGCUAGAGCACCCGCCUUGCACGCGGGAGGUUGCGGGUUCAAGCCCCGCCCGGUCCA